GGAAGGAUCAUUACAGAAUCGUCAACGGGUUGUUGCUGGUCCUCGAACGGGGACAUGUGCACGCUCUGUUUACACAUCCACUCACACCUGUGCACCCUCCGUAGUUCUGUGGUCUGGGGGACCCUGUCUUCCUGCCGUGGUUCUACGUCUUUACACACACACUGUAAUAAAGUCUUAUGGAAUGUAUGCCGCGUCUAACGCAAUACAAUACAACUUUCAGCAACGGAUCUCUUGGCUCUCGCAUCGAUGAAGAACGCAGCGAAAUGCGAUAAGUAAUGUGAAUUGCAGAAUUCAGUGAAUCAUCGAAUCUUUGAACGCACCUUGCGCCCCUUGGCUAUUCCGAGGGGCAUGCCUGUUUGAGUAUCAUGAACACCUCAACUCUCAUGGUUCGCCGUGAUGAGCUUGGACUCUGGGGGUUUUGCUGGCCUGCGGUCGGCUCCCCUCAAAUGAAUCAGCCUCCCAGUGUUUGGUGGCAUCACGGGUGUGAUAAAUAUCUACGCUCGCGGUUGUCCGCCAGGUAACCUUUGGCGACAAAGGUUCGCUGGAGCUCACAGAUGUCUCUCCUCAGCGAGGACAGCUUUUUGAACGUUCGAUCUCAAAUCAGGUAGGACUACCCGCUGAACUUAAGCAUAUCA
rnacentral:sRNA from 1 species